rnacentral:rRNA from 1 species
AUUGAACGCUGGCGGCAGGCCUUACACAUGCAAGUCGAACGGCAGCACGGGUGCUUGCACCUGGUGGCGAGUGGCGAACGGGUGAGUAAUAUAUCGGAACGUACCUUAUUGUGGGGGAUAACGCAGCGAAAGCUGUGCUAAUACCGCAUAAUCCCUUAGGGGGAAAGCGGGGGACCGUAAGGCCUCGCGCAAUUAGAGCGGCCGAUACCUGAUUAGCUAGUUGGUGAGGUAAAGGCUCACCAAGGCGACGAUCAGUAGCUGGUCUGAGAGGACGAUCAGCCACACUGGGACUGAGACACGGCCCAGACUCCUACGGGAGGCAGCAGUGGGGAAUUUUGGACAAUGGGGGCAACCCUGAUCCAGCAAUGCCGCGUGAGUGAAGAAGGCCUUCGGGUUGUAAAGCUCUUUUGUCAGGGAAGAAACAGCAGCUCUAACACAGUAUGCAAAUGACGGUACCUGAAGAAUAAGCACCGGCUAACUACGUGCCAGCCGCCGCAGUAA